rnacentral:rRNA from 1 species
UACAGAGGGUGCGAGCGUUAAUCGGAAUUAUUGGGCGUAAAGGGUAGGUAGGUGGUCUUAUUUGUCUGGGGUGAGAGCCUUGGGCUUAACUCAAGAAGUGCCCCGGAAACGGUGAGACUGGAGUCCUGGAGAGGGUCGUGGAAUUCCCGGUGUAGCGGUGGAAUGCGUAGAGAUCGGGAGGAACACCAGAGGCGAAGGCGGCGACCUGGACAGGCACUGACACUCAACUACGAAAGCGUGGGGAGCAAACAGG